UAGAGCAUCAGACUUUUAAUCUGAGGGUCCAGGGUUCGAGCCCCUGUUCGGGCG
rfam:Opisthorchis viverrini opera_v5_85.70, whole genome shotgun sequence.